AAAUAGUGCCCUUUCCAUCUCGGAUUUCUUCUUUCUGCUGCUCUCAUCGCUCAGAGGUACGUGACCAAAUGCCAUGAGAGGCAAGUGGAAGAAGAAGCGUAUGCGCAGACUGAAGCGUAAGAGGAGAAAGAUGAGGCAAAGAUCAAAGUAGACGCUGGUCCCAGCAGCAGCAGCGGUGUUCCUGUGUGGUGAUGCGCUGAGCGGCCAGGAGUCCACAGCAGCCUGGAGCCGAUCUUAAAGAGGAUAAUGCCCAGUGCUGGAUGACACCCUGAUCCUUGACCAGCGGCUGUAGAUCUCUGGGACAAACCAUAUCUUUACAGCAGAACCAGUGCUGUUUAACGCAAUAAUAAAUUAUGGUUACCACAA